rnacentral:lncRNA from 1 species
CGCGAAGCCAGCUACAUUGGAUUUCCAACAUCCUUAGACCUUUACCACUGAGCUCUCUGCACACCAGAAUGUUCCUGCACGUCACAGUUAGUGUGUGACAACAAUCAGUCAGGGAAAUCUGAAAUAAAGUCUUCACAGCGAAUCAGAUAAGCUUGCCUUCUUUAGAGAACCAUGGAGGUGGCGAAGCAGCUAAGGUGGAGAAGGAACAGAAAAGAUCAUUCAUGCAGGGAAAACCAACUUCCAUGCCUUGUAGACACUAAGGCAGCCCUGAGGAGAGGUCUAUAUAACAAGAAAUCAAGACCCCCCCCAGCCAACAGCCAGUGUUGCUCGAUGAGGAGUCCAGAAACCUGGCCACAGGAAGAAUAGUUGCAAGUACUGGAAAUGUUUAACAUAGAAAAAAGAAGGUUCGGCAUGGGCAAAGUAUCUUCAGCCAGGGUGAAUCUCAGACGCAUGGUGUAUCUGCCUACCUCCAGA